UAGAGUUUGAUCCUGGCUCAGAUUGAACGCUGGCGGCAGGCCUAACACAUGCAAGUCGAGCGGCAGCGGGAAAGUAGCUUGCUACUUUUGCCGGCGAGCGGCGGACGGGUGAGUAAUGCCUGGGGAUCUGCCCAGUCGAGGGGGAUAACUACUGGAAACGGUAGCUAAUACCGCAUACGCCCUACGGGGGAAAGCAGGGGACCUUCGGGCCUUGCGCGAUUGGAUGAACCCAGGUGGGAUUAGCUAGUUGGUGAGGUAGUGGCUCACCAAGGCAACGAUCCCUAGCUGGUCAGAGAGGAUGAUUCAGCCACACUGGAACUGAGACACGGUCCAGACUCCUACGGGAGGCAGCAGUGGGGAAUAUUGCACAAUGGGGGAAACCCUGAUGCAGCCAUGCCGCGUGUGUGAAGAAGGCCUUCGGGUUGUAAAGCACUUUCAGCGAGGAGGAAAGGUUGGUAGCUAAUAACUGCCAGCUGUGACGUUACUCGCAGAAGAAGCACCGGCUAACUCCGUGCCAGCAGCCGCGGUAAUACGGAGGGUGCAAGCGUUAAUCGGAAUUACUGGGCGUAAAGCGCACGCAGGCGGUUGGAUAAGUUAGAUGUGAAAGCCCCGGGCUCAACCUGGGAAUUGCAUUUAAAACUGUCCAGCUAGAGUCUUGUAGAGGGGGGUAGAAUUCCAGGUGUAGCGGUGAAAUGCGUAGAGAUCUGGAGGAAUACCGGUGGCGAAGGCGGCCCCCUGGACAAAGACUGACGCUCCGCUGCGAAAGCGUGGGGAGCAAAAAGGAUUAGAUACCCUGGUAGUCCACGCCGUAAAC
rnacentral:rRNA from 1 species